rnacentral:rRNA from 1 species
ACACGUGGGAAAUCUGCCCUGCACUCUGGGACAAGCCUUGGAAACGAGGUCUAAUACCGGAUAUGACCUUCCUCCGCAUGGGGGUUGGUGGAAAGCUCCGGCGGUGCAGGAUGAUCCCGCGGCCUAUCAGCUUGUUGGUGGGGUAAUGGCCUACCAAGGCGACGACGGGUAGCCGGCCUGAGAGGGCGACCGGCCACACUGGGACUGAGACACGGCCCAGACUCCUACGGGAGGCAGCAGUGGGGAAUAUUGCACAAUGGGCGAAAGCCUGAUGCAGCGACGCCGCGUGAGGGAUGACGGCCUUCGGGUUGUAAACCUCUUUCAGCAGGGAAGAAGCGCAAGUGACGGUACCUGCAGAAGAAGCACCGGCUAACUACGUGCCAGCAGCCGCGGUAAUACGUAGGGUGCGAGCGUUGUCCGGAAUUAUUGGGCGUAAAGAGCUCGUAGGCGGCCUGUCGCGUCGGAUGUGAAAGCCCGGGGCUUAACCCCGGGUCUGCAUUCGAUACGGGCAGGCUAGAGUGUGGUAGGGGAGAUCGGAAUUCCUGGUGUAGCGGUGAAAUGCGCAGAUAUCAGGAGGAACACCGGUGGCGAAGGCGGAUCUCUGGGCCAUUACUGACGCUGAGGAGCGAAAGCGUGGGGAGCGAACAGGAUUAGAUACCCUGGUAGUCCACGCCGUAAACGUUGGGAACUAGGUG